GGGUGUUUAAUAACUAUGAAAACAUCAACCAUAAACAAGAAAUUUAAAAUAAUACGACAAACCUGAAAGCUGUUAAAAUAGUAAUUGUCUUAAAUAAAUAUAACACUGAUGUACAAAGACCCUAAAUCAGUCCAAAGAGAUAGUAAAACAAAGGCAAGAUGAGAGCACCCUUUGCAGAUGAAACGCCCGUCACGCCCACAAUCAGCUUAAAGAUGCCAUAGUAAAAGGCAAGCUGGAGCACCACAUGGAGGCCCAAAAGACUGCAAAACAAAACAGAACGAUUUUUGGGCGAUUCCUUGCUCAGAUAUUGACGCACGCCUUGAAUGGUGUUGGCGAAAUAUUCAUCCCAUGUCAGUUCUCCAAUAUCGAUGCCGAACUUCUUUUUGUCCGCAAUGUCCAUGGAUUUUGACAGGGCCAGAAGACGUUUGCUAUCGAAAUGCCACUCGGUGAAUAUGAACCGCUCCAAGGUAUUCAACGAAUUCCAAACGUUUUUAUGAAGUCGCAUCAAGCUGGGAAAAAAAGAAAUUUGAAAAGAUUUUCAAAAUUGACAUCUAAUCCUAUAUCAAUAUAUAUGUAGAGCUAUCUCUUAAGCCAUAAGGCAUAGUAACUCACAUUGGCCUACCGCCGCCAAUUCUGGUAACCAAGUCAAGGAAGAAGCCGGGUAUAAAGUGGAAUAGUAUGGCCCCAAGACGGAACAGCAUAAGGCUCUUCACCAGACGCAAAUUGGGAUACCAGACGGCGCUGUUCAGCGGAUAGUCAUGCAAAUAGCUAUUGAUUUUGUCCUUCAGAAACUCGAAACGGAAUGGCUUAUAUGUGCUGGACGUCAAAUGGAAUAUCUGCAGCUCCGCUGGACGUCCUCCAUUCUUGGUUCUGCAAUGGAAACGGGUUGGUUAUCUGAAUAUACAUAACUUCUAGCAAUACCCACUUCAACGAAUUGACAUAAUAGCCCGUGGUUAUGAUGCCAUUGACCACCACAUCGAUGGGUAUAUAGUCCAUGAUGAUUGUAGGAUCCAAGGGCAGACGACGCAAGAUACCCUUGGAGGCGCCCAUGAAGAAGCCCUGGGGACCGUUCUUCGAUAUGGUCCACCCGGGUAUGGGCUCCUUCCAAGCAGCCGUGACUGCAAUGAAAUGAGUAUGAGAGAAAACCGGGACGGCAAACGGAUUUCACUUACUCAUGCUGGGGCGCACAAUGCCGCAGGGGAACUGCGAUGCCGCAUUGGCUACCUCGUGCUCCGCCAGAUGCUUGGUAAACGUUUAACGGAUUCAUAGGGACAACUCACUUGGGCUCCAGUUGCUUGAGCGCUUCAUCGUUAAGUGUCUCGGCCAGCUGAAUAAUCUUUUCUGGAUCGUCGGGCGAGGGAUAGAGUUUCUCUUCCACAUCAGUUAUAUAGGCAUUCACAUAUGCGCUGGACACGUGCACCAGUGCAUCCAAAUGGCGCAGUUGCUUGCACAGCUCGACGACGCGACGUGUUCCACGCAAAUUGAUGUUCGUCGUCUCCUUCAGCGAUUGGAAAAAGUCCAGCGUGGCAGCCGAGUGGAAGACCACGUUCACGUUGUCGAUCAGUGUCUCACGAUCCUUUGAAGAAAUGCCCAAAUGCUCGAGCCCAACAUCGCCUUCAAUAGGCACAAUCUUCGAGAGACGCGACUCCAGUUGCAGCUCCUUGAAACGAUCGAACACCGAGUUCUUCUUCAGCUCCUCCAGACGCUGCUCCACGCUCUUGCCCUUCUUGGCGCGCAUCAGCAGAUACAGGGUGCCCACAUUGGGCACAUCUCGCAGCAGCUUCUCCACAAUGGUCACGCCCACAAAGCCCGUGGCGCCUGUGAUGAAGACAUUGCGUCCCGCAUAGAAAUCUGUGAUGGGCGAGCUGCAUUGGUAACAUUUGAUUAGUGUCGAUUGAGUGGAAAUUUUAACAUAUAUUUAUAUAACUAAUGCAGCUCGUUUUAUUAACAGAUUCUCUUGCAUAACAAUCUUAACAAACUUUCCCUACGCUUCAAAUGCGAACAACAAAGGCAAAAUUAGCCGCACCAGCAGCAGCCGUAGCAGCCGCAGCAACUCCAAGGCGGAAUCGUACAAGUCUGUCGCAUUUCUCCGUAACGUAAUGCUCCAAUGUCCAAAGCACAAACCAGUUUUUUGUAUAUAUAUAUAUAUAUAUGUAUAUGUGAAUAUAUCGAUGUGUAUAUAUAGUGUGUGGGUUCUAACUGCUAUUUGUCGUCUGCAUAUUUAUCUAGUUAACUAAACUCAAACUGAGCUGCGGGAGUAUAAAAAUGGCAGAUCAAUGGUACUUGAAGCUGAGUGGAACAAGUCAAAGUAUUAAUUAAGCAAAAAUGUACUCAGAGAAUAUGAAACAUGAAAACGCUGUUGCAUUGAGUUAGUUAUAAAUGCAAAUUGUGCAGUCACGUAGUCGAAGUAGGAACAAGAGUAGCGUAAAUCAAUUAGUAUUUGUAUAAUUAACUCGUUUUAUGAUAUCGAUAUUAUAAUUGUAAUGCGAUCUAAAUAAGUUUGGCGAAAGUAUUCAUGUUAGACGCACCUAGCUAGACCCAACUAGUUGUUGGUUUUUGUAAAUAAUUGUAGCCCAGUUAUACAAUGUAUAUCAUGUAUAUACAUACAUUAUCUUAUAUUGCAUAGGCUUUAGCUAACUAUGCGAUCUGUAGAGCCAAGUUUUUGUUUUGACACACGCAAGCGCAAUUCGAAUUAGCCACUUUCGUUUUGGCCCUAAUGAUGGCAGCGUCUCCGACUCCUCUGUGGUUGCGUCUGGUCAUGGCAAAUGAUUUUAUAAUGAACAAUGCAAAUGAUGUGUGUGUGCGGUAUUUGUUUUUGUUGUUCGCUGAUUUUAUUGACUAACAAUUGACAAUUUAAUGUUCGAGCUGCGCAAUAUGUAUGAUUUACUCGAUCAAUUUGCAGACAGUUGAGCUCAAAGCUGAAGACGUUGCAGGUGCAGCUGCAACUGCGGUUGCAACUGCAACUGCCUCAAGCUGCUCAGUCAUUGGCAAAAGAGUUUUGAUGCCAUCGUCAGAUUUGGUGCCGAAUCUCUCGACUCUGGCUGUCAACUGAAUCAAGCUUUCACUUUGCCACUUUGCCCAUUAGCAGCAGGUGAGCCCCGUGGCUGGCAGCCACAGCUUCUAACGUGGCGAUAAUUCGGUAUAAAUUAAAUGGUUUUAUUUUUUCCCUUUGCGGCUUUUGGCAAUUUGCAAAUUUGAAUUUUGCAAUGUGUUAGCCAAUUUCCUACUGGGUCUUUGUAUUAUUCAUGUAUACGUCUUGUGUUGCGGAGGCUACAGUAAAUUGUCUUAUUAUCUUGACUAAAGCCAUGCAGUGAUUAGAUUUUACCUGAGGUUUCCCAAACGUGGCCAAGUGGAACAACACUUAUCGCGCGCAAUUAACUGCGCGGAUUUAUGGCAGCAAAUUAAAUGUUGAAUUUAUGCAAACAGGUUCUAGGAUCGGCUGUGAACUGUGAACUCUCUGGAUGUGCACGACCUUAUAACCAAGCAUCCGACGGCUAAUUGCAGUAUGAGGGCAUAAUUGCUAGUAAUGGAGUUUGUAGCUACAGCACUUCGCAAAGGAAUAGUUUUUGUGUUGGUUAUACCCUGGGUCCAUUGAAAAAGGGGAAUCAGGGUAUAAUGGUUUUGUGAAAAUGUAUGUAACAGAGAGAAGACGGCGUGAAAGAGCCCCUAAAAAAUAUAUACUUUAUCAGUGCGACGAACUGAGUUGACUUAGAUUGUUUGUUUAAUAAAAAAUAAAAUAAAUC